UCGCCUGUUUAUCAAAAACAUAGCCUUAUGCUUAGAUAUAAGGUAAGCCCUGCCCAGUGAUAAGUUCAACGGCCGCAGUACCCUGACUGUGCUAAGGUAGCGUAAUCAGUUGGCUUUUAAAUGGAGUCGAGAAUGAAUGGGACAAUGGGGAUCAGCUGUUUCUAAUCUGGUAAUUUGAAUUUAAUUAGAAGGUGAAAAUCCCUUCGGUAAGAAGAAAGACGAGAAGACCCUUAGAAUCUAAGCCAGCCUCAAUUAUCCUGAAUUGAAGAGCUUUUGUUGGGGCGACAACGGGGCAGAGUCAACCCCCGGCCUUAGGGGGCACAGGACGAUCUUAGUAAGCAAGAGAAGGUUACCUUAGGGAUAACAGCAUAAUUUAUUAAAGUUUGUGACCUCGAUGUUGGACUAGGGACCUUACGACUAGCCGUCGAUCUGGAAGGUUCUGUUCGAACCUCAAACCCCUACAUGAUCUGAGUUCAGACCGGAU
rnacentral:rRNA from 1 species